GGAAGCGAAACUGGUCUGGUGACUGGCCCGGCCUUCAAAGCCGCUGGUCCUUCUCUUCGGAGGGGGACGAUGGGUUCGAUUCCCAUACGCUUCC
rnacentral:tRNA from 1 species